AAGGGGAGGGAGUAGAUAUUGUUUUUAAGUUGAAUGAGCUAGGGGACUGAGUUAUUUAUGAUGCAGGGGAUUCUGGGUUUUUUAGUGAGGAGGCAAUGGGGAUUGCCGCUCUGUACAGUUAUGAUACUUGAUUGCUGAUUGUUACUGGUUGAUCCCUGUUUGUUGUGUGGUUGUUAUUAUAGAGAUUAUGUGGGGUAAUUAAA